rnacentral:rRNA from 1 species
GCAGCAGCCGCGGUAAUACGUAGGGCGCAAGCGUUAUCCGGAAUUAUUGGGCGUAAAGAGCUCGUAGGCGGUUUGUCGCGUCUGCCGUGAAAGUCCGGGGCUCAACCCCGGAUCUGCGGUGGGUACGGGCAGACUAGAGUGAUGUAGGGGAGACUGGAAUUCCUGGUGUAGCGGUGAAAUGCGCAGAUAUCAGGAGGAACACCGAUGGCGAAGGCAGGUCUCUGGGCAUUAACUGACGCUGAGGAGCGAAAGCAUGGGGAGCGAACAGGAUUAGAUACCCGCGUAGUCCCUGUCUCUUAUAC